GCUAAUGAUGUUCGGGACGGUGCCUCCGCGAGGAGGUGAAAAGGGAACGCGGUGCAAGACCGCGGCUGCCCCCGCAACUGUAAGCGGCGAGUUCUGCGCCAUCGGCCACUGGGAGCCAUCCCGGGAAGGCGGAGCAGGAUGCCUAGACCCGCGAGCCAGGAGACCUGCCGUCGACCCGCAACGAUC
rnacentral:ncRNA from 2 species